CACAUUUGAAAUUGGAUACCUGGUCCUCCCUCUCUUUUCCUCUCUCACAUCUCCUCCACACUCUCUGUGUGUGUGGAGUGUCUCAGCUCUCCGCUCGCUCUCCUCCAUGCCCCACUGGUGUCACUGGGAGUAGGAGAGUGAGAUUGACUGGUCCUGGGACGGACAGACUUGAGUCCUGCAGUCCGAGGGCGGGCUCGAGAGGGAUGGAGGGAGAUAAAGAGGGGAAGGAGAGAGAGGGGGAGGAGAAGGAGUGUGAUGAAGCUGAGCUGAGCUCUGAUCAGGCAGAAUCCAGGACAGCCUCCUCCCACUCCCCCCUGGGGUCUUCACUGGAGGACCUGGCCAGUCCCAUCAUGCACUGGGAGGCACUGGGGCACCACAUUGAAGAGCUGGAGAGGCAAGAGCAGCAGAGAGAGAGAGGAAGGAGAAGAGAGGAGAGAGAAGGAAAGGAGAGAGAGAGGGGGAAGAGAGGACCACAGCCUGGAGAGUUGAGAAGGGAGCCUGCCAGAUUGUCACACCGACAGAGUGUGAAAGCACAGUGGGAGGAGCAGGUGGAGGAGGAGGGAGGAGAUGAAGAGAUCACCAAGCAUGUGAGCGAACUCACCUCCCGGCUCAAGAGUCGCAUGAAUCUACAGCUUUGCUUCAUCAACAACAGUGAGAGUGAGGAGGAGGAGGAAGAGGAGGAGGAGAGAGGGAAGGAGAGAGGGAAAUUAUUUUUGUCGCCCCUCUCCCCCCCCCAGAAUCCCGCAGGCUCCACUGGUGGGCGUGUCCCUGCGGUGGAAGCCCCACCCCCUGCUCUGGUUGCCAGGGGCGACCGGGUGGAGAGACAGAGAGAAGUGGAGACAGAAGCCCGGAGGGCGCUGGCGAGGGUGAGAGAGAGGCUGGCGAAGAGGCCAGAGCGGGGGGGCCAGAACCAGUCCAACAAGAGUCUGGCACACACUCCAGAUGACAGGAGGCUGCAGAGCGCUGACCUGCACACACUGACCAUCAAACAGCUGGACACUCUGAGGAAGAGACUGAUCCAGGCUGUGCAGGGUGAGAGAGAGGGAGAGACUGAGCCAGGCUGUGCAGGAUCUGAGCUCGGAGCUGGUUGGUUUGCUGUUGUCACGUGACCAACUGCAGACGGAGCAGGAUGCCAUCUUACUGGAGGUGGAGGACUUGACCGCGUUUGCAGAGAAGGAACAAACUCACCAGCACAGCACUCCAAGAUGACCAGUGUGUGUGCGUGUGUGAGUGUGUGUGUGCGUGUGUGAGUGU